AUGGGGGUCCCCGAUGGAGACGCCCGCACCCUCGGACCCCGCAUCGCCCCUCGCGUCCGCCGCCCCCGGCCCGUCCCCGGCAGCUCGCCCACCCCGGCCCCGGGCCCGCCGCGGACUCACCUGACGCCGCAGCUCGGGGUCUCCGGUUCUCGCCGCCGCAGCCGGCUCGGCAGGAACCACAGAGGAGGGGGAGCGAGGGGCGGGGCCGGGCGAGGGGCGGGGCCUGCGCGCACGCGUCCUCGGGGCGGGGCGGGGCGGGCUCCGCAGCUGGGCCGGCGCUCUGUCCCGCGCACCUGGCGCUCCCGGAACGUGCUGCGCGUCGUCGUCGUCUCCAGGGCCCAUGUGGCCAAGGAAGCAGUUAUCCACAUGCCACACAGUAGGGCUGACUCUUCACUUAGGAGCUGCCUUUGUGCUGCCAGUAGAGGCAGUAACCGUGGUCUUCAAGAAAAUAUUCUCCCCCUGAGCGCUGAGAACAUCCAGCACCAAGAGGAGAGGAGAUGCCAAAGCGGGACUGAAAGAACUAAAGGCUCAGAUGGAGGAAUCUCUUCUGGGCCCUCCAAGUAGGACCCCUUCCCUGGAGGGGGGGAGAUUCUGCCAAAGAGCACCAGGGACAGAGGCCUUGCACUACAACUGCUGAGCCCUUCGCCCUUGUUUGGUUGGCUGUAUAGGUCUUUGCUUUCAGGUACAAUACCCUGCAAAUGCACACAAAGCACACAGUUCACAUGAUGACUUUCGUGGGGCCUAUGUACUUUUGCCUUCCUGGGCGCUCUCACCCAUAAAAUAUUAAAAAGUAUUUUUUACCACUGUGUUGGCAUAAUGGAAACGAAUUAUUAUUAUUAUGUGUUAAAGUAUUUUCUUUGACCAGAAGAGACUUCUUUUUCUUCUGAUUUUAAAAUAACUUAAAACAUCUUCCUAUGCCUACUGUGUGGCUCCCUAUGGCGCGCUGUGUGCCAUCAUGAGAUGGAGGAGGAAGGGGAGGGGAAUGGAGAGGCAGGAUAUGGGAGGAGGGGCAGAUGAGGAGGAGAAGGAGGAAGAGGUGGAGGACGGGGAGCUGAAUACCAAGGUGGCUCUAGUCCCUGGCCCCAGAAUGGCAGCCCCUCUCUCUGGAAUUCCCCUUUAUCCGAGUCUGCAAACACAAAUUCUGGUCUCUCAUCCUCCAGCCUCCUUUCUUUCCACAGGAACAGCCUCUCAUUCCUCCUCCAAUGCCCUCGUUCUGGAGAUCCUUUCUUUUUCCACUGGCUAUCCCCAAGCCUGGGCCCAAAUCCUUCACCCACAACAGGACUGUAGCCUCCCAACUCUCCGCCCCACCCCACCCAGGCCUUCAUUUGCCAAACCCUGGUCUUGUGAGAGGGUCUGGAGAGUCCAAAGUAUAAAAAGCUCCCAAGAGAAAAGCAUGUGUAGGCCAGGUCUCCUCAUGGAGCCAUGGGGUCCCCCUGCUGAAUAGGUUCUAGCCCUCCCAGGUCAUUCUAGUUGGAUACGUGGAGAUGUCAAACUUGAAUGGAGCGGGGAGGAUGAACAUAGAAAACACACUGAUUAGUACUCGAACAUGUAAGCUUGCAUCUAUAUAUCCAGUAAUCACAUGGAUUCAGUUUAUUCUAUUCUGUUCCUAUGAAUUUUACAAUCUGCAGCUUUGCGUUAUAAUUUGUUUUUUAACCUCAGAAAGUCUUGGACAGGCGAAAUACAGGACCCUAGAAUUCCACUCCUUGUUGUGUGAUCCACUGAGUUCAGGACACCUGCACAAUAAGAACCAUAGCCUCAUUGUGUGAAAGAGCCGCAAACUGGAAACAACCCAAAUGUCCAUCGUCAAUAGAAUGGAGAACUAAAUCGGGGUAUAGUUCGUUAGCCAUGGCAACGGAGGAAUCACUGAUGACUCCUGAAUCCAUAAUUUUUAGUGAAAAAAGCCAGACAGAAGAGAAUAUAUACCGUAUGAUUACAGGUUAAACCCAGACCUGUGCGGAGUGCAUGAUAAAUGAAACUAUGAAGUAAACGAGGAAUGGAACACCAUGAACAUAAGACUGCGGUUACUGCUAAGGGCAGGGAAUAAAAUGUCUUUAGGAAGGGGCA
rnacentral:lncRNA from 1 species